CACAGUGUUCAACGUCACCCACGCCUUCAUUUCUUCACAAGAUUUCUCCUUCUCUCCCAUCUGACUUCUUCUCGCUCCUCCAUUUCCAUUCUUCACACACUCCACCGCCAUUUCACCCUAUACACACACCUAUACAUACACCAAUACAUACACCUAUACAUACAAAUAUACGUACAUAUGUAACUGAAGUUGUGAUUGUAUAUCUAUAUGGACACUCGAACUGCUAUCUCCGAUUCGAACGAGAGCACAAUCACCUGCGUCAAAAUCACCGACUCGUUUUUACCGGAAAACACGGC
rnacentral:lncRNA from 1 species